rnacentral:rRNA from 1 species
UACGGAGGGAGCUAGCGUUAUUCGGAAUUACUGGGCGUAAAGCGCACGUAGGCGGCUUUGUAAGUAAGAGGUGAAAGCCUGGAGCUCAACUCCAGAACUGCCUUUUAGAACUGCAUCGCUUGAAUCCAGGAGAGGUGAGUGGAAUUCCGAGUGUAGAGGUGAAAUUCGUAGAUAUUCGGAAGAACACCAGUGGCGAAGGCGGCUACAC